AAUCCGUGUUAUGGGCACCUUCACAAAAGAUCCUUGAAGUGCUCCCAUGUCUCAAACAAUGAUUCCAACUCCAUCUGCACAAAACAAUGAUAUCUCAUUGUGAAGUUU